CAAAGAAUAGUUUAGUUUAGAAUCCUAGCUUUGGGAGCUAGGGGUGGGAGUUAGAAUCUCCCUUCUUUGA
rnacentral:tRNA from 1 species